CUGCUGUUGAAUAAGAAAUAAGCUCAGUGGGGAGUCUUUCCUUCAUUGUUUUAUUGGCAGUAUCUCUCCUGUGUUGGUUCUCUUAAAUAUUAGGAGGAAAAGUAUUGAAAAGACUUAGUAGAUUAAUUACAUUUACAGGGUUUAUUUCUAGUUUCAGUUCCUAUUAGAUAAAUAAGUUGAAUGUUCUAGUUGAAAGUUUAUCCUUGGUGUCACAGGUUUUCUUCUCUGUAGAGCUUUUUAGAUGAGUAAGGUAAAUUCUGAAAUAUUUCA
rnacentral:lncRNA from 1 species